GACGAACGCUGGCGGCGUGCUUAACACAUGCAAGUCGAACGGAAAGGCCCUGCUUUUGUGGGGUGCUCGAGUGGCGAACGGGUGAGUAACACGUGAGUAACCUGCCCUUGACUUUGGGAUAACUUCAGGCAACUGGGGCUCAUACCGGAUAGGAGCUCCUGCUGCAUGGUGGGGGUUGGAAAGUUUCGGCGGUUGGGGAUGGACUCGCGGCGUAUCAGCUUGUUGGUGGGGUAGUGGCUUACCAAGGCUUUGACGGGUAGCCGGCCUGAGAGGGUGACCGGCCACAUGGGGACUGAGAUACGGCCCAGACUCCUACGGGAGGCAGCAGUGGGGAAUAUUGCACAAUGGGCGGAAGCCUGAUGCAGCAACGCCGCGUGCGGGAUGACGGCCUUCGGGUUGUAAACCGCUUUCGCCUGUGACGAAGCGUGAGUGACGGUAAUGGGUAAAGAAGCACCGGCUAACUACGUG
rnacentral:rRNA from 1 species